AGAGUUUGAUCAUGGCUCAGGACGAACGCUGGCGGCGUGCUUAACACAUGCAAGUCGAACGAUGAAGGUGGGAGCUUGCUUCUACCGGAUUAGUGGCGAACGGGUGAGUAACACGUGAGCAAUCUGCCCCUGACUCUGGGAUAACUCCGAGAAAUCGGUGCUAAUACCGGAUACGAACUGAGACCGCAUGGUCAUCAGUUGGAAAGAACUUCGGUCAGGGAUGAGCUCGCGGCCUAUCAGCUAGUUGGUGAGGUAAUGGCUCACCAAGGCGACGACGGGUAGCCGGCCUGAGAGGGUGACCGGCCACACUGGGACUGAGACACGGCCCAGACUCCUACGGGAGGCAGCAGUGGGGAAUAUUGCACAAUGGGCGCAAGCCUGAUGCAGCAACGCCGCGUGAGGGACGAAGGCCUUCGGGUUGUAAACCUCUUUUAGCAGGGAAGAAGCGAAAGUGACGGUACCUGCAGAAAAAGCACCGGCUAACUACGUGCCAGCAGCCGCGGUAAUACGUAGGGUGCAAGCGUUGUCCGGAAUUAUUGGGCGUAAAGAGCUCGUAGGCGGUUUGUCGCGUCUGCUGUGAAAAUCCGAGGCUCAACCUCGGACCUGCAGUGGGUACGGGCAAACUAGAGUGCGGUAGGGGAGAUUGGAAUUCCUGGUGUAGCGGUGGAAUGCGCAGAUAUCAGGAGGAACACCAAUGGCGAAGGCAGAUCUCUGGGCCGUAACUGACGCUGAGGAGCGAAAGCGUGGGGAGCGAACAGGAUUAGAUACCCUGGUAGUCCACGCCGUAAACGGUGGG
rnacentral:rRNA from 1 species